ACUAAAAUAACAAGCGUUAAUUGGAUUAGGGACUAAAAGUGGUAAAAUAGAAAUGUAGGGACCAAAAUAGAAAUGACCUCCAAAAUAUAGGGACAAAAAGAGCAUUUACGCCAAUAAAUUUUGAUGGUGAGGAGGAAAUGGAGUUUGCUCCUAGAAUGUGCAUAGGCUAGGAACUCUUGAUGCAAAUAAAUGGUUUAGAAUAUGGUUUUGGAAAUCUUAAUGACUUGAGAAAAAAGAAGAAGAAAUAGUUGGAAGAUGAAGCAAGGCCUCAACCAUGGAAGAAGAAAAGUAUAUUCUUCACAUUGCCUUAUUGGGAGGAUCUUUUAUUGCAUCACAACAUUGAUCUUAUACAUGUAGAGAAAAAUGUAUGUGACAAUGUGAUUGUCACGGUAUUGAACGUAAAAGUAGGUCUAAGGAUAACCCACAGGCACAAAAAGAUCUUGAAGAAAUGGGUAUAAGACAUGAACUUCACUUAAAAAACAUUGAUUCUGACAAGCCAACUAUGCCAUUAGCUUGCUUCACAAUGAAACGUAAAGAGAAGGAUGAUUUCCUAAGAGUUUUGAAGAGUAUUCAAGUACCGAAUGGUUAUGCCUCAAACAUCUCACAAUGUAUCCAACUUCAAGAGCGUAAGAUUACUGAUUUGAAGAGUCAUGAUAGCCAUGUACUAAUGCAACAAUUUCUUCCAAUAACGAUACGAGGAUCUUUGCCAAAGAAGGUUACAUCUACUUUGAUUGAUUUAUCUUGCAUAUUUAGGGAACUAUGUUCCAAAACUUUGCAAGUAAAAGAGCUUAAGCAACUUGAGUCUAGAAUUGCAGUGACAUUGUGCAAUCUAGAAAGUAUCUUCCCUCCCUCAUUCUUUACAAAUAUGGUCCAUUUGGUGACUUAUAUGGCCAUGGAAGCAAAGAUAGCUGGACCAAUUCAUUAUUGUUGGAUGUACCUCGUUGAAAGGUACCUGCUAAGGCUAAAUUCAUACAAUCACAAUAAAGCUCAUCGAGAAGGCUCCAUUGCAGAAGGAUACAUGGCGGAGGAGUGCUUAACGUUUUGUUCAUGGUACUUAGAAUCAAUUGAAACAUUAUUUAAUCGACCCUUAAGAAAUGUUGAAAAUGCUAGGGGUGAAACACAAAUAUCAAGCUUGAUAAUACAUCCUGGAUGCAACCUCAUCGCUAUGUGCUAUUUCAAUAUGAUGAAAUAACACCAUUUCGUAUAUAUGACUAAGAGGAAAAGAUACAAUAUUGAAGUUGUUGGGGCUAGAUCUGGCCAUGGUACACCUUGUCAAGUUACAUCUAGCUAGGGUACAUUUGAUCAACGUACAAUGCCCCCACAAGAAGGCUUGCAGCAGCUUAAUGCUAUCAUAGGUAAUGAUGAACUGGAUGAAGAAGAAUUUGCAGAGGUUCAAGUAGUGAAUGUUGAAGCUAGUAGGAAAAGAGGCAAGUUUACUUGCACGGGCUCUAGGUGUAAUUGCUAAAAUGCCAAAUAUAUGUCCAUUGAAUUAUCUUGAUUGGUGUGAGAUGCCAAACUAUUACAAACAAGAAAGCUGGAAUGUCAUUCAGAAGCUAAUAAGGAAGAAAUCAAGAAGAAAACUAUUAGCUCAUUGUCUGUGUGUUCGAGGGGUUUUAAAAAUCGCUUGAAACAAAAAUGCUACAAGGACAACAUGACACCAGCACAAGUAAUGGCUAAAGAGUGCAUCCUUUGGUCAAUCUUGAUCAACUUGCAGUUCUUGCGAAAUAUUGGUGUCCAGAUGAAGGAAAGGAAAUGGAAGAGGGGAAUUCACCUACUCGAGAAAAAAUGUGUAGAGUUCUUCAUUCUAAGAAAGAUGGGACACUAGUGAAUGUUACAGCUAAGGAGAAUAUGGAAAAAAUGGAUGAAUUGAUAAGCCAACAACAAACUCCAUUGACUUUCACUUCAAGUGUGAGUAUUGCUUCGUCUGGGAAUGAUGUUUUUUCUCAAGUAUUAGGCAAGGAGCGAAAUGGCCAAAUUCAUGGUUUAGGAUUCGGGCUAACUCCUUCUAAAUUUGGUUUGAGUUCUAUAACCAUUGGUUCAAGUUUUAAGGUGGAAUUAGAAGAAGAGAGCUUAAGAGAUAAAGAAACAAUUUGCAAACUCAAAGAGGAAUUAGUGUUUCAAGAGCAAAAAUAGUGAGUCAAGAGGAAAAGCUUGCAAGUCAAGAGGAAAAGCUUGUAUAGUUUAUUGUUGAAUUUUACAAUGUUAUUUGCGCUUUGGAUAGAUGAAACUUGGUUUAUUAAGUUAUUUGAACAAAUGUGAACACUUAUUUCAAUUUAAUAUUUGGAGUAUUGUGCUUGAAAUUUAA